rnacentral:lncRNA from 1 species
AAUUAUUUCAGAGACAGACCAAGGCCACAGAUGAUGUAAUCAGCAUAACAAACAAUGACUAUGGGAAGGAAUGGAUGAUGCUACUUUGAAUUAGAAAGGAUUCUUUGAAGAGUGACUAUUCCUUCACUGAAUAAUUAGUGCUUUCUGUGUUUUAGGCAUUGAUCUAUGAACUGAGGCUUCUGGAAGUGAAGAGACAGAAGUUCUAGCACUCAUGAAGCUUGCAUUCACUAGGCAAGACAGACAAACCACAACCAUGAGAAACAAUCAUGAUGUAUCAGAGGACAGUAAGUGCUAAGAUAAGGGGACCAAUAAUUAUGGAGGCAGGGAUGGUACCAUUUACAUCUGUCAAGGUAGAUCUUAUUAAGAAGACAGCACUCCAAGUCAAGAAUUAAGAGAAGCAAAAAGUCUUCUAGUUUUCUUCGAUAAAUGAAAACUUAUUCUAUGUUCCUACAUUAACCAAAUUAUUUUAACUGCCUUCCUACUUCUCUCCUAACUGAAAGCCAAAAAGUUUUCACAACAUCCAUAUAUACAGGAGGAGGAACGUUUGCUUUAUUGAAACACAAAAAUUUGUCACUACAUAAAAUGAAAAAUGAGAUCUUAUUAUUAGCCAAUGUUUUUAAUCCUUCUAUUUAAAAAUAUUUAACAUCAUUUGCUUUAAUGUUUUCAUUCAUUCAUCUCUCCUACCCUUGAAUCUCCUUUUUUUCUUUUAAACGUCUUUUGAACUUCUCUUCCACUAUAUAUUCUCUUCUGGCAGGGUCCUGGUGUGUUGAAGAAGUUUGGCAUCUGUAUCUCUCCCCGUCCUCUUUGUAAAUUCACAUUUUGGAAAAAAAAAAUAAGGGUAUUUAGAAGAAAAAAAGUACUCCUAUUUUACAUGAAUUAAUGUAGAUGUGGUAUUAUUCCCCAAGUCAAAACUCACUCUUGAUCAUAAGCUGCCUACACAGAAAAAGCUUCUUGUACAGAGUCUGAAUGCCAGGAAGGAUUACUUGCUAUCUUUCUCUCAACUUGGUUUCAUAAAUAAUCAGAAUCAAAUCUCUACAUAUGAGAUCCAAGGAAUGAUAGACACACAACAGGAAACUUUAUCAUACUCUUUGGUGCCACUCUGAGCACCUAGGGACUUUCCAGAUUUCGUCUAUAAUGCAGUGGAUAUCUUGGAGUUGAAAAAAAGGCUCUGAGCUCUUCUAGCUUCACUUCAGAAGCUGCAAUUCAGAACAUAUGGACGUUAGGGACCAACAAAGACGAGGCAAAGAGAAACAAGGUUCUACCACAAACUUGAAAGACCCAGGCUUGCAAGAAGAAAAUUAAAACUUUAUUCCCAUCAGUUACAUGUUGACAAGAACUUGUAAAGAAAAUGAUCAUUCCAUUAAGUUUGUUCUAUUUUCUUGAAAUGUAAUUGUAGAUUUUAAAUUAAUUUUAACUGAAUUUUUAAAAGAUUUCUCAGAAAAUUAUUCGUAUUUUGGGGGCAAGUGAUUACAUUCAUAGAACUAGUGACUGAGGUCAAGCAAAAGAGAACUUGCUGAAAUAAGGGAGGUCUCUCACUCUAGAACUUGCUAAGUCCAAGGGCACAUUUAGACCUGUGAGUACCUGCUGCAGUUUUGGUGCCAAUAGCGCUCUGGUUCACUGAUUUUGCAAUCAGCUUUUCCUCCUAAUAGUCCCAUUUAGGCUUCAUCCUUGACUAUUCCUUCUUUCCCUAUGUUUAUUCCUCAGACAAAAUUUUCUAAGCAAUUACAAAAGGAAAUAUCCUAUAUAUAUUUAUAUUCUAAUAUGUGGAUUAGUGAAUACAUACACUAUCUCAUAAGUUCUGCCCUACAGAAAUUAAUCUAGUAAAAGGAAGCAUAUUCAUAAAAAUACUUUUAUGAACAUUAAAUAUGAUAAGUGGCCUAAGGAUAAUGAAGUGCUGCAAGAAUUCAGGGUUCUAGCCAAGAUAGGUGGCGCACGCCUGUAAUUCCAGUGGCUCAGGAGGCUGAGGCAGGAGGAUAGCAAGUUCAAAGCCAGCCUCUGCAACUUAGCGAGGCCCUAAGCAACUCAGUGAGACCCUAUCUCUAAAUAAUAUACAAAAAAGGGCUGGGGAUGUGGCUUAGUGGUUGAGACCCUCCUGGGUUUAAUCCCCAGUACUCCCCUGCAAAAAAUUUAAGAAUUCUAGUCCAUUGCUUAGUCCUGUUAUUUCUUGGUAAAUUAUUUUUAUUUGUUAAAUAUUAAACAGAUAUUUUCCAGGUCUAUUUUAAGAGCAAACUAAAUGAUCUCUCUGUCUGUAUUCUUCCUCCACCAGGCUCUCUAAUUUGAGCAUGGUGAGUAAAACAAAAUAAUUAAGUUCCUUCCCUAUGCAAAACAACUGAAGUAGUGCAGCUUUCACGGUGUUUCAGAAUCUGGAUCCAAAAGGUCUGUCCAAUAUUUUUUUUUUCUCUCUCUCUGGACCCUCUAUGACAAAUCUGCCUAGAAAGGUGAGUUAGUACAAAAAUCACAUAGAGUCAUGAGUUCCCAGCCAGUCACUGCUUUUUUAUAAAUAAGAAUAACAAUCUCAAAACCAUUGCUAUAAUUUGCUAAUUCCCUAGUAUAAAAAGCAAGUGGUAGUAGUGGUUGAAGGUUAACAUGGCAUAAUCCUAACAUUUAUCUCAUAAAAUAGUCAUAGAAAACAAACAAACACCCUAUCAAAAAAAAUUCAAAGUUCUUAGGCAUGCAUAAGCAUUUCUGUGCAUACAUAGAAAUAUCUUUUUACAUUUUUUAAUAUUUAUUUUUUAGUUGUAGGUGGGCACACAAUCUUUAUUUCAUUUUUAUGUGGUGCUUAGUAUUGAACCCAGUGCCUCACGUGUGCUAGGCAAGCACUCUACCACUGAGUCACAACCCUAGCCCCCUUCUUUACUUUAACAUUCAUUUUUUAAUAGCCUGAAUGGAACUCAAAGAAUACAUUGGUGUUGUGGCCAACCAUCACCACAACUUAAUGACCUUUAUCUUGAGUCAGAUCCCCCUCCCCACCUUUCUAAGUAUUUUCUAGGUAUUAACUUAGGUAGUCAUUGACAUCAUUCAUUUAACUCAGAUCAUUGAAACUGAAGAUUUCAGGACUUUGGACCCAUGUCUUCUCUUCAUCUCAGCCUUCAUUCUAGAUUUACUUUUAAUUCAAAUCAGCGUCACUCCAAGCAUUCAUUCUUUGACUCCUAUAUUGCCAGACAAAUGCUCCUGGGUCACUCCUCCUCAUUCCUAGACUAUUUAGUGGUUAUUUGCUCCAACAUUACUUUUGUCAUACUUCUUGGUGAUUUCAAUAGCUAUGUAGACAAUGGUUCCAGCAGUGAAGCUUCCCAAUUCCUCAAUUUUCCUACAAUGAGCUCAUUUUCCACCUGGCCUUGGCCAUUCAUCCCAAUGGUCAGCCUCUAGAGACUUGGUCAAUAGCAAUAACUCCAAGCCUUCCACAAGUGUGUUCAGGCUCUUGCCCCUGUUGACCUCCCUGGAAGGCUAUAACAAAGAUGACAGAGAAGAACCCCACUUAGAUGCAGAGGUGGAUGGUGUGGAUGAAGACAAGGAGGAUGACGAGGAAAAUGAGAAGGAUGAGGAGGAAGAGCUUGAUGAAGAUGAAAAUGUAGAAGGGAAAGAUAAUAAAGUUGAAGUCAUUGGGGAGGAAGAAUUUAGGCAUGAGGGAGCAGUAGAUAAAGAUGAAGAUGAGGAUGAAGAGGAAGAAAGUGAGAAAGGUGAAAAGAGAAAGAGAAACAGAUGAUGAAGGAGAAGAUGAUUAAGACCCCAGAUAAACUGCAAAACCGGAACUGUUCAGUAUAGAUUGGACUGCAUAUGGAUUUGAUAGAUGUUUUAAAAAAUGGUAGCUGUGAUACAAACCCCUGGACACCCACCCAUCCAAAGAGCCAAAGAAGUUCCUGUGACAUUCUGCCUUCCUCCUUUUAGUGCCUCUUGGUAAUCCACCAAGCUUAAGGACUUUGCCCCAACAAAAUUGUAAGCAUUGUUACGUUUUUUUGGGGGGCAAGACUUGCUGUAGCAUGGAUAGCUGUGAUUGACGCGUCAACCAUCCGUGGCUACCAGUUAUACCAAAAUUAUAACAGCAUUUUUACUUUCUGUACAACAAACAUGCAUUGUAAAUAAAAUCUUAACAUUUUGGGUCAAAAAAUAAGUUUUAAAAAAGUAUCACUCUCUUGAACCAAAAUCUUCCAUCUUUUCAGCUCCCCACCCAACACUCUACCUUUGAGAUUUGUAAUUUAUCUCUUGUUUAUCCAAAACCCAUCUCUCAUUCAUAUUUCAUUCUUUACCUAUCUUAAAUUUCAGAGCUGAGGUUGUGGCUCAGUGAUAGAGCAUUUGCCUAGUACAUGUGAGGCACUGGGUUUGAUCCUCAGCGCCACAUAAAAAUAAAUAAAGAUAUUGUGUCCGUCUACAACUAAAAAUACUUUUUAAAAAUUUCAAUGAUCAUUUUAAUCACUUCUUCACACACUUUACAUUCUCAUAUACUUGGGGAAGCUUCAUUAUGAUAUAAUAUCCACCCACUCUGAGUCUAUCUCUGUGUCUUCAGAGGAAAACAUACAUCCAGACUAACUGGGAAGUCUCUCCCUAAAUUCAUGAUCAUUCACCUUGGGGAAGGUCAGGCUGCUCAGCAACCCUACCACGCACGCCUUUCUAGCCCAAACACUAUCAUUUUUCUAAAGAAAAAUUUCAUACUUGCUGUUUCUCUUAAAAUUAAAUCAAACCCUCUUACAUACAUCCUUCUAUCAUCUGCUGAGAAAAUAGAAGCAAUCAGAAAAGAAUUUCCGCAAGCACCCAUACACCAGCACACCUGCAUCACUGCCUUAAAUAUCCUGCCUUUUAUCCAACAACUCUGUAUGAACUUUGCUUCUAUCCAAUACUACCCUUCCUUUUAAGAAGUAAGUCCCAGCCCCUUUCUUCUACUCAAGGCAGCACUCUAACAAUUCUACCUUCUCUUUCUUGCAUCCUCUUCAACUUUCUUCCAACUCCUACUAGUUGUCAUCUUGGGAGGAGUGCAUGUGGAGGUCGGGCAGAGGUGGUGAAAAAGACUAUAGUGUCCCAGAACUUUCAUACAAGUCUGUUACAGACUUCUAAUUCUCUGAUUACUCUUAACUUUUGAUUAAAAUAAAAAAUCCUAGUAGCAAACAUACACUGGCAAUUGUAGGAGAAUUAAGAGUAUUAUUAUCAUCAUCAUCAUCACCAUCAUUAUCAUCAUUUUUAUUUGCAGUGCUCAGAUCAAACCCAGGGCCUCACACACAGUAGGCAAGUACUCUACCACUGAGCCAUAUAUCCAGCCCAAGAGAGAUUCUGAUGCCAAUUUUGUUAAUCUUAUACACAGUGUUUACCAAGAAAGAUAUCUGGAAGUCUAAGGACCUUUAAACGGUAGGAGUAAAUGUCUCAGAGUUUAAAAUAAUCCUAUGCUAUUCCCCCAAAUUCAAGCACUUAUUCACAACUACAAGAUUUAUCACCUGCAACCACUAUAAUGUGGGAUGGAAAACAUCCCCAAACAAUGUGGCUCCUACCAACUAGAAAGAAACUACAGAGUUUGUGGCAUUCCAAAGAAAAAUUAGUGAAUCCAGGUUUACAAUGCUUUUUGCUCAAUUCUUUCUGGAUGUAUUAAUGAGAUAAUGUAUACACAUAUUACCUGGCCCAGAGGCACUGUCUGUUGGAAGUGUGGAUGUUGGCAAUUGUUUUCUUAAGGUUUUGCUUUUAUUUUUUGUUUGAAGUGAAGUAAUACCUGUAUUUGGGGAUAAUACAUUAAAAAUAAAGAUGAAAGCCUGAGGAAAAAAUGUACUCAGUCCCAAAGCAGCUACUAUAAAAAGAAAAUGCAAAUCUAGAAUUAAAGCAGCCUUAGGAAAAGUCAGUUUUACUCAAUUUUGACAAAGGGGGAAGUUAUUGUUAUAGAAUCUUGCAUUUUAAUAUGUUUAGAAACUAAAUGAAAUAUGAUUCUUUUCUCUAAUACUCAUUUAUACCAUACUUGACAAUCCUAAACCUACCCUAAAGAAGAGGCUAGAACUCCAGUGGCACAAUGGGUUAGCACGCAGUACUUAUAAGAAAGAGGCAUUGUUUUAUAAUAUAUAAGAGGGGUUGGAGGGGAAGGGAGAGGGCAUAGGGUAAUUAAUGAUGGUGAAAUGUGAUGAUUAUUACUAUCCAAAGUACAUGUACGAAGACACAAAUUGGUGUGAAUAUACUAUGUAUACAACCAGAGAUAUUAAAAAUUGUGCUCUUUCUAUAUAAUAAGAAUUGUAAUGCAUUCUAAUGUCAUAUAUAAAUUAAAAAUUACAUAAAAAUCUUACCCUUGAUUUUGGAUUGGAUCCAGUCCAAGAAAACCCUUACCCUGGCAAAUACACCUGGCUUCCAUGGCUGGAUGCAGCCAGCUCCCCAACUGACGAUGCCAUAGAGCACAAAGGGACUAUUUUCAUGUCUACAUACUAAUGGCCCACCAGAGUCUCCCUGAAAUAAGAAAAAAUGUUCCA